ACACAUGCAAGUCGAACGGUGUAGCAAUACACAGUGGCGCACGGGUGAGUAACGCGUGGGAAUGUACCCUUUAGUACGGAAUAGCCUCGGGAAACUGGGAUUAAUACCGUAUACGCCCUUCGGGGGAAAGAUUUAUCGCUAAAGGAUCAGCCCGCGUGAGAUUAGGUAGUUGGUGGGGUAAUGGCCUACCAAGCCUACGAUCUCUAGCUGGUCUGAGAGGACGACCAGCCACACUGGGACUGAGACACGGCCCAGACUCCUACGGGAGGCAGCAGUGGGGAAUAUUGGACAAUGGGCGAAAGCCUGAUCCAGCCAUGCCGCGUGAGUGAUGAAGGCCUUAGGGUUGUAAAGCUCUUUCGGUGGUGACGAUAAUGACGGUAACCACAUAAGAAGCCCCGGCUAACUUCGUGCCAGCAGCCGCGGUAAUACGAAGGGGGCUAGCGUUGUUCGGAAUAACUGGGCAUAAAGCGCACGUAGGCGGAUAUGCAAGUCAGGGGUGAAAUCCCGGGGCUCAACCUCGGAACUGCCUUUGAAACUGCGUAUCUGGAAUCUCAGAGGGGAUAGCGGAAUUCCAAAUGUAGGGGUGAAAUCCGUAGAUAUUUGGAGGAACACCGGUGGCGAGGGCGGCUAUCUGGAUGAGUAUUGACGCUGAGGUGCGAAAGCGUGGGGAUCAAACAGGAUUAGAUACCCUGGUAGUCCACGCCGUAAACGAUGAGUGCUAGUUGUUGGGGACUUAGUCUUCAGUGACGUCGCAAAUGCUUUAAGCACUCCGCCUGGGGAGUACGGCCGCAAGGUUAAAACUCAAAUGAAUUGACGG
rnacentral:rRNA from 1 species